CCUAGACGUACCCUCCAAACACAGAUCUAAGCUCUUCUCUAUCUCUAAGCUCUGGCAAUUGACGACGGCGGCAAGUUGGACUCCUCUCUCAGAUCGACGAAGGCGGGUAUCUCCAGACUCCAGCGAUCGAUGACGACGAUGGCUUGAAAUCCUCUCUCUAUAGUCUACGAAAGUGGCAUCAGCAGCGGCAGUGUUUGAUGGAAAUAUUGGCGGCGUGAGCAGCGGCGACGGCACCAGCUCCGGCGUUGCUGCGCUUCCUCAGGUAAUGUCAUUGCUUCAACAAGGAAACAUUAACAGAACCACAGAUCCAGCUCGUGUCAACUAAACAUCGUCAUGCUGUUAGUCUUUAUAUGCUCGGUCAUUCUCGCCUUCAGAAAUGGUUUGCUUCAUGAACUCCUUCACUUGCACAAGAGUUAGAAUUGCUUUAGGCACAACACAUGCCAUUAAGAUGAUAGAAGAUGACAAGGUAAUAGCAAUAAUGUGUGUUGAUGACCCUGAGUUUUAUCAUUACAAGACUUUGGAGAGAUAACUCAACACUGUUUUGGUGAUAUUAUAUAUAUAAUGCCAGAAGUUUGCAUAUUUCAUCUUCAAUUGUCUGAUGAUGAUUUUGCUUAUGUUCAAUUCUUUAUUGCCCAUCCUUCAUUAUUUGUGAAUAGACAAGAAUGAGAAAAAAAAAAUCAGUGAAAGUGAGACUUAGCCUGCAAAAGAGGGGUUGUUGCUGCUAUCUAAAAAUUCAUGUAAGUUGAUCCAACUACCCCUACAUCUACAUGGCAUAUAUAUGAACAUUCAUGGUUUAAUUUAUUUAUUUAUUGUUUUAUGUUUACUAUUAUUAUGUAGUGUAGGCAAAGG